rnacentral:lncRNA from 1 species
ACCGAUCAAUCUUUAGCAUAAUUGUCAGAUAUGCAUAUCACAAUACAUAGACAAAUCGAUACAUAUCGUAAGGUGAAUCGAAAAUGAUACCGUAUUUGAUGAGUGCAUAUUAUUCAUUUAUUAUGAUUCUUUUAUGUUUAGUUUUAUUGCAUGUUUCAUGUGUAUAUGAACUUAUUAAAGUGUUUAAUGAUUUCAAGAAGAAUUGGAGCUGAAACGAGGAAAAAGUGGAGAUUGCAGAGUUUUUAGCUAAGUUGGAUGCAUGGUCUUGGCUUGGGACUUGGAUUUUAUUGUAGAGCUAUUUCCUAGCUUUACGGAACAUCUUGAAUCGUCUCAAUCAAAAUUCAUAUGAAAAAGUUAUGUUCUUUUUACCAAACGGAUAUUGAACCUUAAAGUUUGAAAGUUGCAAUUUACAUAACAGCCACUUGGAGCCCAAUUUCAACCUUGAUCCAGCUAAAAUCUUUCAAUUCUCAAAGAAUGAAAGUUGUAGAUCUCGUCGAGAGCUUCGAUUUGAUAGGUAGCAAGCCUCGUAACUCCUCAUGAAUCAAAAGUUAUGGUUGUUUUACCAAAGGACGUCGUAGCAGAAAAUGAAAAUUUUUCCCAGCGAAUUUAAGCGAGAAAAUUGGGAAAUCUUGGAUUUUUGAAAAGUUUCUAAAAGCAGAUUUUGGCAAAUUUCUACAUGGAAUGGGA